rnacentral:rRNA from 1 species
GACAGAGGCCUCGAGCGUUAGGCGGAAUCACUGGGCUUAAAGCGUGUGUAGGCGGAUUCUUAAGUACCUUGUGAAAUCCCACGGCUCAACCGUGGAACUGCUCGGUAUACUGGGAGUCUUGAGCCAUCCAGGGGUUACCGGAACAAACGGUGGAGCGGUGAAAUGCGUAGAUAUCGUUUGGAACGCCAAUGGUGAAAACAGGUAACUGGGGAUGUGCUGACGCUGAGACACGAAAGCCAGGGGGAGCAAACGGGG